UUUUUGUGAAAUCCUUCCAGAGUUUCGUCGUUACCUUUCUGUUUUUUUUUUGCGGGAAAAAUUUGACGGAUAUUUUUUGGCGGGAAAAUGUUUACAAAAAAAUUUUGGCGGGAAAAUUUGUUACGAAACUUUUUUGUCGAGAAAAUUUGACGGAAUGUUUUUUGGCGGAAAAUAUUUACUUUUAUUU
rnacentral:sRNA from 1 species